AUGCAGUCGACGAGUCCGAAACAGGACGAAACUUAGGUCCUGAAU
rfam:Schistosoma mattheei strain Denwood, Zambia genome assembly, scaffold: SMTD_contig0000611